GCUACCUGGUUGAUCCUGCCAGUAGUCA
rnacentral:rRNA from 11 species